UUAUGUUCUUGAAACUUAAAGAAUUUGGCGGUAUCUCAUUCCGUCCAGAGGAAUCUGUCUCGUUAUCGAUAGUCCGCGUUGGACCUUACUUAKUUUUAUUUGGUUUGUAUACCGCCGUUUAUUGAUUAUCUUUUUARAGUUUGUUAAUUUUCUUGUUUCUUUAUUUUGAUUUAUUUCAGGUCAAGGUGCAGCUUGUUUCUAAGUGGAAAUGAUGGAUUACWUUAUUAUUUGUUUUUGGAUUGUUGAUUUUAAUAUUGGCWUGAAWUUGGAUUUGGUUGUAAUUUCUUGUARAUKGUUGUUGUGAUAUUKGGUUCKGGGAUAUGUACMCAUCSCCCGU
rnacentral:rRNA from 1 species